rnacentral:rRNA from 1 species
GGAAGACGGCCUUCGGGUUGUAAACCUCUUUCAGGAGGGACGAAGGUCCAACAGUUAAUAGCUGCUUGGAUUGACGGUACCUCCAGAAGAAGCUCCGGCUAACUACGUGCCAGCAGCCGCGGUAAUACGUAGGGAGCGAGCGUUGUCCGGAAUCAUUGGGCGUAAAGCGCGCGUAGGCUGCCCGAUAAGUCUGCUGUGAAAGUCAACGGCUCAACCGUUGAAAGCCGGUGGAUACUGUCGGGCUAGAGUGCGGAAGAGGCAAGUGGAAUUCCUGGUGUAGCGGUGGAAUGCGCAGAUAUCAGGAGGAACACCGAUGGCGAAGGCGGCUUGCUGGGAUUGUACUGACGCUGAGGCGCGAAAGCGUGGGGAGCAAACAGGAUUAGAUACCCUGGUAGUCCACGCCGUAAACGAUGAGAACUAGGUGUGGGAGGUGUCGACUCCUCCCGUGCCGUCGCUAACGCAUUAAGUUCUCCGCCUGGGGAGUACGGCCGCAAGGCUA